rnacentral:rRNA from 1 species
GACGAACGCUGGCGGCGUGCUUAACACAUGCAAGUCGAACGAUGAACCCGGAGCUUGCUCCGGUGGAUUAGUGGCGAACGGGUGAGUAACACGUGAGUAACCUGCCCUUGACUCUGGGAUAACUUCGGGCAACUGUAGCUAAUACCGGAAACGACCCUCGGCGGCAUCGCCAGGGGGUGGAAAGAAUUUCGGUCAAGGAUGGACUCGCGGCCCAGCAGCUAGUUGGUGGGGUAACGGCACACCAAGGCGACGACGGGUAGCCGGCCUGGGAGGGUGACCGGCCACACUGGGACUGAGACACGGCCCAGACUCCUACGGGAGGCAGCAGUGGGGAAUAUUGCACAAUGGGCGCAAGCCUGAUGCAGCAACGCCGCGUGAGGGAUGACGGCCUUCGGGUUGUAAACCUCUUUUAGUAGGGAAGAAGCGAAAGUGACGGUACCUGCAGAAAAAGCACCGGCUAACUACGUGCCAGCCGCCGCCGUAA